GAAAAUGUUUUGUGAUUUUCUUCAGACUUCAUUGUAAAUCUUCAAAUGCUCUUCUGCUAUAUAAUGACGUCUAUAACUGCGCCCCACAUGUAUACAUCUGGGUUGAAGCUGUUGGGUCAUAGGUUGGGUUUGUUUGACAAAAUAUUGGGUCAAAAUUAAUAACUCAAGAGUUGGGUCAGAAAUUUACCGGAAGUCUACAGCUUGAACACUUCUGUUGGGUCAAUGUUGGGUAGAUUUACCCAUCGGUUGGGUUAAAGACGAAACUUGGAAGAAGCCAACUCCCCUCUUCACAAGCCUCCAUUUUCAAGACUGUGAACGUUCCUUAUCGGACUUCUCCUCUACUUCGAAAUAAGACAUGAUAGAUUUUGUAAUUUUACAUCCAGGAUCUUCAGGAGAAUUAAGUGAAACCCAAACUCCUUGUUCUCAACAAAGACUUUCUGUAUGGCCAAGAACAUGAGUCUGCUCUUUCAAGAAGAUGAUGCAGCCCUGCACCUGCUGCCAGUUCUUCUCCCUGCUCCCCCUUACACUUUUGGGAGAAGAGUUUCAGACCCAUCAACCUGGAAGUUCAGAAGGCUUCAUUGAUAUCCAGACUAUCUUUUGUAUGGCCAAGAAGAGAAAGGAGCGGCCAUCUUCUCAACAACAUGAAUUUUCUCCCUUAAGACAGACAAGAUGAUAUAGCCCUGAAGCUGCUGCCAGUACUCCUCCCUGUUCCACCUUACACAUUUGGGAGAAGAGUUUCAGACCCAUCAACCCUGACAUUCAGAUGGUUUUAUUGAUAUCCAGCCUGUUGGAACAAACCUGGUGACGCAUCUACAAAAUGUCCCAUAUGUCCUCAUGCAGGGAGACAGGCAAAAAUGCUAAAGUGAUGUUAAAAUUGCUCCUUGUUUAAUGGCUGAAAGUUUUUCUUGUAGUUUGCUUUAAAACAGACUUUUUACAUUAAAUGUUUUCUAAUGUGUAGUAACAGAUACUUCUGGAGUUGUAGCCAAAUGAGUUGAAGUGAUUUAACUAUAUACUUUUGAAACA